GAUAUACUCCCUCCGUCCAACAAAGGAUGUCUCAAUUUUGACUAAAAUGCAUCUAUACACUAAAUCACAUUUAGAUACAUCCAAAUUUUGACAAACUUAAGACAUCUUUUGUUGGACGAAGGAAGUAUUUA
rfam:Brachypodium distachyon strain Bd21 chromosome 1, whole genome shotgun sequence.